UUAUCAAGAUAAAUGCCAUAAA
rnacentral:miRNA from 1 species